AUUUUGGAUCGUACGGAUGAGGUUCACGUCAUUUUGGGUCGUACGGAUGAGGUUCACGUCAUUUUGGGUCGUACGGAUGAGGUUCACGUCAUUUUGGGUCGUACGGAUGAGGUUCACGUCAUUUUGGGUCGUACGGAUGAGGUUCACGUCAUUUUGGGUCGUGAGGAUGAGGUUCACGUCAUUUUGGGUCGUACGGAUGAGGUUCACGUCAUUUUGGGUCGUGAGGAUGAGGUUCACGUCAUUUUGGGUCGUACGGAUGAGGUUCACGUCAUUUUGGGUCGUACGGAUGAGGUUCACGUCAUUUUGGGUCGUACGGAUGAGGUUCACGUCAUUUUGGGUCGUGAGGAUGAGGUUCACGUCAUUUUGG